AUUUCAUAAACCACGCAUCUAUUUUUGAUGGAAUAAUUUCACAUUACCGUCCCAUUUAUUAAUUAUGAUUUAUUUAUUUAUUUAUUUUCAUAUUUUUUUGUCUUUACAUACACCCAGACAAGUUCAGUCUCUUGCUCUCUCUGUCUCUGUCUCUCUCUCUCACACAGACUCACCGUCACUGAUUCGCCGUUCAUAGUCACCGUCGGUCUUCUAUUGUCAAUCUUCCACCGUCGCUCACUGUCCAUCUUCCACUGUCGCUCACCGUCGAUCUUCUACCGUCAAUCUUCCACUGUCGAACAUCAUUACAUUGCUACCGCCGCUCGCAUCGCAUCGUUUCAACAUUGAGUGAAAGACAAGGGUUGGUGCCUUUAUCCCAACAAGAAUGCACCAACAAAGUCGGUUCAUGAUACCUUUAGUCAAGAUUCUUCACCAGGUCAAGAAUGCAAACUGAACAUGACAAAUGGAGAUAGAACUUUGCACUCUGUUUUGCUUGAUGGUACAUGGAACAACUCUGCUGCCAUGUUCAGACGUUUGAAGGAUCGAGCAAAUGAAAUCUGGGGAGAGGACCUUCCUUGCAUAUCUCUUGCCACUGGUGCAUUUGCAAUGCAUAAACUGCGAUUGGUUUUUGAUGACGUUUGGAAGCAUACUUGGAAAUCAAGAUUAAGUUUGAAUUUUUUUUUUCUUCUGAAUGGAUACUUAGUU